UUGGCGCUUUUUUGNAGCGGGCCCGAUGUUCUGAUNAGCUAGUUGGUGAGGUAAAGGCUUACCAAGGCGUCGAUCAGUAGCUGGUCUGAGAGGACGACCAGCCACACUGGGACUGAGACACGGCCCAGACUCCUACGGGAGGCAGCAGUGGGGAAUUUUGGACAAUGGGGGAAACCCUGAUCCAGCCAUGCCGCGUGAGUGAAGAAGGCCUUCGGGUUGUAAAGCUCUUUCAGCCGGAACGAAACGGUCACGGUUAAUACCCGUGACUUACUGACGGUACCGGAAGAAGAAGCACCGGCUAACUACGUGCCAGCAGCCGCGGUAAUACGUAGGGUGCGAGCGUUAAUCGGAAUUACUGGGCGUAAAGCGUGCGCAGGCGGUUUUGUAAGUCAGAUGUGAAAUCCCCGGGCUUAACCUGGGAACU
rnacentral:rRNA from 1 species